AUUGAACGCUGGCGGCAUGCUUUACACAUGCAAGUCGAACGGUAACAGGCCGCAAGGUGCUGACGAGUGGCGAACGGGUGAGUAAUGCAUCGGAACGUGCCCAGUCGUGGGGGAUAACUACUCGAAAGAGUAGCUAAUACCGCAUACGAUCUAUGGAUGACAGCGGGGGACCGUAAGGCCUCGCGCGAUUGGAGCGGCCGAUGUCAGAUUAGGUAGUUGGUGGGGUAAAGGCUCACCAAGCCCACGAUCUGUAGCUGGUCUGAGAGGACGACCAGCCACACUGGGACUGAAACAAGGCCCCGACUCCUACGGGAAGCAGCAGUGGGGAAUUUUGGACAAUGGGGGCAAGCUUGAUCCAGCAAUGCCGCGUGGAGGAAGAAGGCCUUCGGGUUGUAAACUGCUUUUGUAAGGAACGAAACGGCUCUGGUUAAUACCCGGGGCUAAUGACGGUACCGUAAGAAUAAGCACCGGCUAACUACGUG
rnacentral:rRNA from 1 species